GGUGAACGCUGGCGGCGUGCCUAAUACAUGCAAGUCGAGCGAACGGACGAGAAGCUUGCUUCUCUGAUGUUAGCGGCGGACGGGUGAGUAACACGUGGAUAACCUACCUAUAAGACUGGGAUAACUUCGGGAAACCGGAGCUAAUACCGGAUGAUAUUUUGAACCGCAUGGUUCAAAAGUGAAAGACGGUCUUGCUGUCACUUAUAGAUGGAUCCGCGCUGCAUUAGCUAGUUGGUAAGGUAACGGCUUACCAAGGCAACGAUGCAUAGCCGACCUGAGAGGGUGAUCGGCCACACUGGAACUGAGGCACGGUCCAGACUCCUACGGGAGGCAGCAGUAGGGAAUCUUCCGCAAUGGGCGAAAGCCUGACGGAGCAACGCCGCGUGAGUGAUGAAGGUCUUCGGAUCGUAAAACUCUGUUAUUAGGGAAGAACAUAUGUGUAAGUAACUGUGCACAUCUUGACGGUACCUAAUCAGAAAGCCACGGCUAACUACGUG
rnacentral:rRNA from 1 species